rnacentral:misc_RNA from 1 species
AAGUCGUAACAAGGUAACCGUAGGUGAACCUGCGGUUGGAUCAUUAAUGAAUUAUGUUUCAACGUGUAGUUGGAGCUAAUUAGGGGUGAGAGUCUGAUAGGUCGAAAGACUUUGACGGGUCUCCCUCGCUUACCCAUGUGAAUUGUUUUUAGUCAAAUAUCUUAGGAGUAAAAUCCUUUGAUUGACUACCCAAACAUUAAAGUCAUUAGAAACUAGUCUUAAUAAAAACAACUUAAUGUUGAAACAACUUUUGACAACGGAUCUCUUGGCUCUC